UACAGAGGUCCCAAGCGUUGUUCGGAUUCACUGGGCGUAAAGGGUGCGUAGGUGGCAGGGUAAGUUUGAUGUGAAAUCUCCGAGCUCAACUCGGAAACUGCAUUGAAUACUAUCCUGCUUGAGGAUUGGAGGGGAGACUGGAAUUCUCGGUGUAGCAGUGAAAUGCGUAGAUAUCAGGAGGAACACCAAUGGCGAAGGCAGAUCUCUGGGCCGUAACUGACGCUGAGGAGCGAAAGCAUGGGGAGCGAACAGG
rnacentral:rRNA from 1 species